rnacentral:rRNA from 1 species
AUUGAACGCUGGCGGCAGGCCUAACACAUGCACGUCGAACGAGAGGCGGACGGGUGAGUAAUGUCUGGGAAACUGCCCGAUGGAGGGGGAUAAAUACUGGAAACGGUAGCUAAUACCGCAUAACAUAGGUGGGGACCAGAUGGGAUUAGCUAGUAGGUGGGGUAACGGCUCACCUAGGCGACGAUCCCUCGCUGGUCUGCGAGGAUGACCAGCCUCACUGGAACUGAGAAACGGUCCAUACCCCUACGUGAGGAAGCAGUGGGGAAUAUUGCACAAUGGGCGCAAGCCUGAUGCAGCCAUGCCGCGUGUAUGAAGAAGGCCUUCGGGUUGUAAAGUACUUUCAGCGAGGAGGCGUUACUCGCAGAAGAAGCACCGGCUAACUCCGUGCCAGCAGCCGCGGUAAUAC